AUGUCGGCGGCGGCGGCGGCCACCGGCGAGGAGAUUCCACCGAAGGGCAAAAGGAAGCUGGCGGCGAUCGAGGAGAAGCCGCGCCGGCAUUGGGCGGACCCGCUCCCGAAGCCCGGUACCACGACUGAAGAUGCAGAGCUGCGGAGGAGGAUCAAGACGGCGCUUCUGGGCUUCCCGGGGUCUGGAGCGUUGAGCGCAGCCGAGUUGGAGCUAUCGAUUGAUAGAAUCAUGAAGGAGUCCAAGCCCGAGACCAGGUCUGUGGCCGCCCCAGGCAUGGUCCGGUUCUCGAAUGAAGAGAUCCGUAUCUGGUUGUCCAUGAUGAAGACCCCCACCGUCGAUGAUAUCCUCGGCGUUGAAGCUGGCGGGGUGUUCCCGCCGGGUUGGAUCCACCAGAGAGCUAUAUUAUUGGAUAAGCAAUGCCAACGAAAGACGGAGGGUGGCGAAAUAAUCUUGGUGGACAAGAUCCGCAUCGAUUUGAUCACAAAGGGCUACGUUGAGUUCCGGGAGGAGUACAUGAGCCCUGACUCGGACGCGGACGAUGAAUGCUACGAAUCUGAGGAGGAAGUGACUUCUGUCCUCCGGAAGGAAUAA
rnacentral:rRNA from 1 species